rnacentral:rRNA from 1 species
UUCCUACGGGAGGCAGCAGUGGGGGAUAUUGCACAAUGGGGGAAACCCUGAUGCAGCGACGCCGCGUGUGGGAAGACGGUCCUCUGGAUUGUAAACCACUGUCCCCAGGGACGAAGAUGACGGUACCUGGGGAGGAAGCUCCGGCUAACUACGUGCCAGCAGCCGCGGUAAUACGGAGGAUGCGAGCGUUAUCCGGAUUUAUUGGGUUUAAAGGGUGCGUAGGCGGAUUUUUAAGUCAGCGGUAAAAUGUCCGGGCUCAACCCGGGCCGGCCGUUGAAACUGGGGAUCUUGAGUGGGCGAGAAGG